AUAGCGUAUAUUAAAGUUGUUGCAGUUAAAAAGCUCGUAGUUGGAUCUAGGGACGCGCAUUUAUCAAGCGCCCGUGUCGUCGGGUCAAACUGGCGACUGCGUUGGCGUUGCGGGCUCGGUCCGUCGGUGCCCCCACAAAGGGCCAUCGGCGUGUCAACCGGCCCGCCCGUCCCCUCCUUCUGGAUUCCCGUUCCUGCUAUUGAGUUAGUGGGGACGUCACAGGGGGUUCAUCGUCGCGUUCACGCGCGGCGGUGGAUCCCUGGGGCCCAGAUCGUUUACCGUGAAAAAAUUAGAGUGUUCAAAGCAGGCAGAUCCAAUUCUCUGCCACCGAAUACAUUAGCAUGGGAUAAUGGAAUAGGACCCUGUCCUCCUAUUUUCAGUUGGUUUUGGCAGCGCGAGGACUAGGGUAAUGAUUAAUAGGGAUAGUUGGGGGCAUUAAUAUUUAAUUGUCAGAGGUGAAAUUCUUGGAUUUAUGAAAGAUUAACUUCUGCGAAAGCAUCUGCCAAGGAUGUUUUCAUUAAUCAAGAACGAAAGUUAGGGGAUCGAAGACGAUCAGAUACCGUCGUAGUCUUAACCAUAAACGAUGCCGACCAGCGAUUAGGAGACGUUGAAUACAAAACACCACCAUCGGCGCGGUCGUCCUUGGCUGGUCGUCCCUCACGGGGCGGCCGGCGGGGGCGGCUUAGCCCGAUGGCACCGGUGAAUGACUCCCCUAGCAGCUUGUGAGAAAUCAUAAGUCUUUGGGUUCCGGGGGGAGUAUGGUCGCAAGGCUGAAACUUAAAGGAAU
rnacentral:rRNA from 1 species